rnacentral:rRNA from 1 species
UGCAGUCGAGGGGUAGAGUUCUUCGGAACUUGGGACCGGCGCACGGGUGCGUAACGCGUAUGCAAUCUACCUUUUACAGAGGGAUAGCCCAGAGAAAUUUGGAUUAAUACCUCAUAGUAUAAUGACUCGGCAUCGAGAUAUUAUUAAAGUCACAACGGUAAAAGAUGAGCAUGCGUCCCAUUAGCUAGUUGGUAAGGUAACGGCUUACCAAGGCUACGAUGGGUAGGGGUCCUGAGAGGGAGAUCCCCCACACUGGUACUGAGACACGGACCAGACUCCUACGGGAGGCAGCAGUGAGGAAUAUUGGACAAUGGGCGCAAGCCUGAUCCAGCCAUGCCGCGUGCAGGAUGACGGUCCUAUGGAUUGUAAACUGCUUUUAUACGAGAAGAAACACUCCUUCGUGAAGGAGCUUGACGGUAUCGUAAGAAUAAGGAUCGGCUAACUCCGUGCCAGCAGCCGCGGUAAUACGGAGGAUCCAAGCGUUAUCCGGAAUCAUUGGGUUUAAAGGGUCCGUAGGCGGUUUGGUAAGUCAGUGGUGAAAGCCCAUCGCUCAACGGUGGAACGGCCAUUGAUACUGCCAGACUUGAAUUAUUAGGAAGUAACUAGAAUAUGUAGUGUAGCGGUGAAAUGCUUAGAGAUUACAUGGAAUACCAAUUGCGAAGGCAGGUUACUACUAAUGGAUUGACGCUGAUGGACGAAAGCGUGGGUAGCGAACAGGAUUAGAUACCCUGGUAGUCCACGCCGUAAACGAUGGAUACUAGCUGUUGGGAGCAAUCUCAGUGGCUAAGCGAAAGUGAUAAGUAUCCCACCUGGGGAGUACGUUCGCAAGAAUGAAACUCAAAGGAAUUGACGGGGGCCCGCACAACGGUGGAGCAUGUGGUUUAAUUCGAUGAUACGCGA